UACGUAGGGACCAAGCGUUGUCCGGAAUCAUUGGGCGUAAAGAGCGUGUAGGCGGCUUGUUAAGUCUUGCGUGAAAUCUCGGGGCUCAACCCCGAGCGGUCGUGAGAAACUGGCAGGCUAGAGUGCGGGAGAGGAGAGUGGAAUUCCUGGUGUAGCGGUGAAAUGCGCAGAUAUCAGGAAGAACACCUAUGGCGAAGGCAGCUCGCUGGGACGUUACUGACGCUGAGACGCGAAAGCGUGGGGAGCAAACAGG
rnacentral:rRNA from 1 species